UAUGCUGUCUCUUUUAUUCCAUUGUAGAACUCUUUAAGGGCAGUCUACAUCUUGGAAUCGCAGAAGAUGAGCUGAAUGUCACAGCUGGAAAGGAUUGUACAACAUAGAUCAUAGAAUUUUAGAGCUGCAAGGGACCUUUUCCAGGAUCCUCAUUUUAUAGAUUGGGAAACUGAGAUCUUGAGAGAGGAAAUGGUACGUGUCUGUUCAUAAAACCAGUUAGAGAAAGAGCUGGGAUGUCUAUGUCUUUUUUUAUUUCCUUUACCACACCCACUCAACUAAUUCAAUUCAAUUGGCAUUUAUUAAGCUAUUAAACUCCUGGGCUCUGUACCCAGUAGGAGUUUAAUAAAGAUUGUUAACUGACUGCCCUAGGGAUCUGAGCUCAUCUAGGGAGUUACAAUCCUUAGAAAACCAACAUCUUUAAAAGCGAUCAAAAUGAAUGGGUAAGAGUGACCUCACCUCAGCAUGUGUCGGAUCCCAACAUGCUGGAGGCUUGUUAAAGUUAAUUGACUUAUAUUUGGUGACCCAUUCCACCAGGCCCCCUUUAAAGCCAUAGUGGACUCACAGGGGCCACCGGAGUGCAGCAUUCCUAUGUGCUUAGAUGGACCUUUGGUCCAAUAGUGACUUCAUUCCAAUUGAUUAACUUCAUAUUGUUUCAAUUUUUUUUCAUGCUAUGUGAUCGAAGAUUAGUUGGCAUCUGGGAAUUACAGUCAUCCCUCAGAGUGCUGGCACUGACAGAGAAGAGGGAAGGUUACAUGCCUGGGCAGGUACAGAUGUCUGAGUGCUGCCUGGAUCAACCCCAGAAAAGAGAGAUUGGUGACCAACAUUGUGAAAGGCAGGUAGAGACUCUCUGGUCCUCAGGGUCAACUUAAGACUAGCGAUCAGCUAUAUUACUUUAGGUAAGUCACUUCCUCUUCCUAGUGCUCAGUUUCCUCAUCUAUGAAAUGAGGAGAUUGAAAAAGAUGGACCCCAAGUAAUCCUUCAGCCCUAAGAAACAGGGGAAUAAAUUGAAAAAAGCACUAAAGUUGAAGUCA
rnacentral:lncRNA from 1 species